AGCAGGCUCCAGACUCCGAGCUGUCAGCACAGAGCCCUGACAUGGGGCUAGAAUUCACGAAAGAUGAGAUCAUGACCUGAGCCAAAGUUGGAUGCUUAACCGACUGAGCCACAGGCACCCCGCUACAAGACUUGUCUUGACUUCAUGUUGCUUCUGCAUAAAGAACGCCCAGUGAUGCUUGCCUACCAUCAAGUUUCAACAGCACGACAAUCAGGCAGCUUCCCAGUGAGUUUCAACAGAAUUCUUGUGACUUCGCAUUUAAUUCUGCCAGCAUUAACCUUGUGAGCAGUUUCCUGGAAUCUCAGUGGUUUUCUGGAGAGUUUGUCAGCACUCCAACUCAGCAGUCCAGCCCAGUUUCCUGCAUUCCAGUCUCAAUGCGCAGCAAUUCAUCAAAUUUCAUCAUCCACUGACAUCACCUGUCAUACACUCUUCCAUAAAGUCCAAUUAUUAGUCUUGGAGGAAAGGGGCCUCUUCCAAAUUCGUUCCUUCCUUGAGCACAUUGCCUCAACCUUAGAAGCUGUGGCUGCUCCCUAUAUCUGCUACUGUAUUGUUUUAGAGUUCUUUUUACCCCUUAGUAGUUAAUCCCAUUACUAGUUAAUAAUUCUUUAUAUUAAAUUUUCCCUGUUUAACGUGUGGUUUCUGUUUCCUGACUGAGAUCCUAGCUGAUACAACAUCUCAUUUAUAUUUUAAAAAACUGUGUGUGUGUGUACAUACUUAUGUAAAUAUAUAGAUGACACAGAAAAUACCAAAUUAUUAUCAGUGAUUAUUACAGGAAAAUGAAUGGAAUUACAAGUAUAGGAUAAAAGAAGAUUUUCUCAGGGCACCUGGGUGGCUCAGUUGGUUAAGCAUCUGACUUCAGCUCAGGUCAUGAUCUCAUGGUUCAUGGGUUCGAGCCCCACAUGGGCUCUGUGCUGACAGCUCAGAGCCUGGAGCCUGCUUCAGAUUCUGUGUCUCCCUCUCUCUCUGCCCCUCCCCUGUUCACACUGUCUCUCUCUGUCUCUCAAAUAAAUAAAUGUAAAAAAAAUUUU